UUUGGUCGGCGGAUAAUGCCGACAAUAGGGAACCGGGUGAGAGUCCCGGGCAGUCCCGCUGCUGUGAGCCUCAACCGUUUAGGCACUCCGAAGACCACUGUGCGCCGCCACAGGUGCAUGGGAAGGUGGAGCGCCGGAGGCAAGCCAGAAGACCUGCCAAAGCCGAAA
rnacentral:ncRNA from 1 species